rnacentral:rRNA from 1 species
AUUGAACGCUGGCGGCAGGCCUAACACAUGCAAGUCGAGCGGAUGAAGGGAGCUUGCUCCUGGAUUCAGCGGCGGACGGGUGAGUAAUGCCUAGGAAUCUGCCUGGUAGUGGGGGAUAACGUCCGGAAACGGGCGCUAAUACCGCAUACGUCCUGAGGGAGAAAGUGGGGGAUCUUCGGACCUCACGCUAUCAGAUGAGCCUAGGUCGGAUUAGCUAGUUGGUGGGGUAAAGGCCUACCAAGGCGACGAUCCGUAACUGGUCUGAGAGGAUGAUCAGUCACACUGGAGCUGAGACACGGUCCAGACUCCUACGGGAGGCAGCAGUGGGGAAUAUUGGACAAUGGGCGAAAGCCUGAUCCAGCCAUGCCGCGUGUGUGAAGAAGGUCUUCGGAUUGUAAAGCACUUUAAGUUGGGAGGAAGGGCAGUAAGUUAACACCUUGCUGUUUUGACGUUACCAACAGAAUAAGCACCGGCUAACUUUGUG